GCGGGCCUUGGCCAUGGCCUUUUCGGCGGUCUUGAAAACCGUCGUGGCAGCGAUGUCACCGUGGGUUCAAAUCCCACCGCCUCCGC
rnacentral:tRNA from 1 species